GGUGCUAUAGUGUAGUGGUUAUCACUCGGGAUUUUGAUUGUUACAAGCGGUCGCAACUUCACUUUCCCGUAACCCAGGUUCGAACCCUGGUAGCACCU